rnacentral:rRNA from 1 species
GGUCAAGCGACAAAGUGCAUACGGUGGAUGCCUUGGCACAGACCGGCGAUGAAGGACGUGGCAAGCUGCGAAAAGCCUCGGGGAGUUGCAAGCAAGCUCAGAUCCGGGGGUGUCCGAAUGGGGAAACCCGGCGGGAGCAAUCCCGUCACCCUUAACAGGGAGCCAACCCAGGGAACUGAAACAUCUAAGUACCUGGAGGAAAAGAAAUCAAUCGAGAUUCCCAGAGUAGCGGCGAGCGAAAAGGGAAUAGCCCAAACCCGGGUGGGGAGACUCAACCGGGGGUUGUGGGGCCGCACAGGAAGUGAACCGAAGCAUAGCGGAACGGUACUGGAACGUACGACCGUAGAGGGUGAGAGUCCCGUACGCGAAAUGCGAGUAGGUGAUCUGGUGUGGACCCCGAGUAGGCCGGGACACGUGGAACCCUGGCUGAAUCCGGGAGGACCAUCUUCCAAGGCUAAAUACGAGUCUGUGACCGAUAGCGGAUAGUACCGUGAGGGAAAGGUGAAAAGAACGCCUGACGGCGAGUGAAAUAGAUCCUGAAACCGUGUGCAUACAAGCGGUCGGAGCCCGACCCGGAUCUUCGGAUUACCGGGGGUGGGUGACGGCGUGCCUUUUGCAUUAUGAUCCGGCGAGUUACUCCUCAUGCGCGAGGUUAAGGGCUUAUGGUCCGGAGCCGAAGCGAAAGCGAGUCUGAAUAGGGCGAUGAGUGCAUGGGGGUAGACCCGAAACCGACGCGAUCUAUCCAUGGCCAGGGUGAAGCUGGGGUAACACCUGGUGGAGGCCCGAACCGUUGUGGGUUGAAAACUGCUCGGAUGAGCUGUGGAUAGGGGUGAAAGGCCAAUCAAGCUCGGAGAUAGCUGGUUCUCCCCGAAAUAUAUUUAGGUAUAGCCUCAGGGGAUUAUCUCGAGGAGGUAGAGCACUGGAUGGGCUAGGGGCCUCACCAGGUUACCGAACCCAACCAAACUCCGAAUGCCUCAGAGACGUAUCCUGGGAGUCAGUGGGCGGGCGAUAAUGUCCGUCCGCGAGAGGGAAAGAGCCCAGACCGUCAGCUAAGGCCCCCAAAUCUGUGCUAAGUGAGAAAGGAUGUGGAUGUGCAGAGACAACUAGGAGGUUGGCUUAGAAGCAGCCAUUCCUUUAAAGAGUGCGUAAUAGCUCACUAGUCAAGUGGAUCCGCGCCGAUAAUGGUCGGGACUCAAGCACAGUGCCGAAGCUACGGAUGACGCAAGUCAUGGUAGGGGAGCAUUCCCUGGUCAGUGAAGCGGACUCGGAAGAGCAUCCGUGGAGAGCAGGGAAGAGAGUAUGCCGGAAUGAGUACGCGAUAAACAGGGUGAGAAUCCCUGUCACCGAAAGCCUAAGGGUUCCGGAGCCAGGCUUAUCCGCUCCGGGUUAGUCGGUCCCUAAGCCGAGGCCGAAGGGCGUAGGCGAUGGGAAACAGGUCAAUAUUCCUGUACCGUUCAAGUAGCGUUUGACCAUGAGGGGGGACGCGGAAGUGACAGGACCGUCGGGUGGUGGAAUAUCCGAUGUAAGGUGGUAGGCGAUGAGGGGGGAGAAAAGACUCCUUUAGCCGAGCGCCGAUGCCGAAGGGAAAUUGCUCCCUACAAAGGGUCCGUAACCAUGCCGCCGAGAAAAGCCUCGCAUGGGAGGUGCUUGGACGACCGUACCGCAAACGGACACACGUAGGCGAGGCGAGUAGCCUAAGGUGCUCGAGUGAUCCGCGGAGAAGGAACUCGGCAAAAUGUCCCCGUAACUUCGGGAGAAGGGGAGCCUGUGGUAGGUGAACCACGACGCGUGGGGAGCCGAAGCAGGCCGCAGAGAAUCGGCCCAAGCGACUGUUUAUUAAAAACACAGGUGUCUGCAAAGUCGGUUAAGACGACGUAUAGGCACUGACGCCUGCCCGGUGCCGGAAGGUAAAAGGAAGGGGUUAGAGGCAACUCGAAGCUCUGAACUGAAGCCCCGGUAAACGGCGGCCGUAACUAUAACGGUCCUAAGGUAGCGAAAUUCCUUGUCGGGUAAGUUCCGACCUGCACGAAUGGCGCAACGAUCUGGGCGCUGUCUCGACGAGGGGCACUGCGAA